CGGUUUAUUAAGUCAGAUGUGAAAGCCCCGGGCUUAACCUGGGAACUGCAUUUGAAACUGGUCAACUAGAGUAUGGUAGAGGAAAGUGGAAUUUCUGGUGUAGCGGUGAAAUGCGUAGAUAUCAGAAGGAACAUCAAUGGCGAAGGCAGCUUUCUGGACCAAUACUGACGCUGAGGCACGAAAGCGUGGGUAGCAAACAGGAUUAGAUACCCUGGUAGUCCACGCCGUAAACGAUGAUAACUAGCCGUUGGGGGGAUUUACCCUUUAGUGGCGAAGCUAACGCGUUAAGUUAUCCGCCUGGGGAGUACGGCCGCAAGGUUAAAACUCAAAGGAAUUGACGGGGACCCGCACAAGCGGUGGAGCAUGUGGUUUAAUUCGAUGCAACGCGAAGAACCUUACCUGGUCUUGACAUCCUGCGAACUUUCUAGAAAUAGAUUGGUGCCUUCGGGAACGCAGUGACAGGUGCUGCAUGGCUGUCGUCAGCUCGUGUCGUGAGAUGUUGGGUUAAGUCCCGUAACGAGCGCAACCCCUAUCCUUAUUUGCCAGCACGUCAUGGUGGGAACUAUAAGGAGACUGCCGGUGAUAAACCGGAGGAAGGCGGGGACGACGUCAAGUCAUCAUGGCCCUUACGACCAGGGCUACACACGUGCUACAAUGGGAAGGACAAAGAGCCGCGAAGCCGCGAGGUGUAGCUAAUCUCAGAAACCUUUUCGUAGUCCGGAUUGGAGUCUGCAACUCGACUCCAUGAAGUCGGAAUCGCUAGUAAUCGUAGAUCAGAAUGCUACGGUGAAUACGUUCCCGGGUCUUGUACACACCGCCCGUCAUACCAUGGGAGUGGGUUGCACCAGAAGUGGCUAGUCUAACUUAG
rnacentral:rRNA from 1 species